rnacentral:rRNA from 1 species
UACGUAGGGUCCGAGCGUUAUCCGGAAUUAUUGGGCGUAAAGCGUCCGUAGAUGGUUUUGUCAGUCUGCUGUCAAAGCACAGGGCUUAACCCUGUAAAGGCAGUGGAAACUACAAGACUAGAGUGCAGUAGGGGCAGAGGGAAUUCCCAGUGUAGCGGUGAAAUGCGUAGAGAUUGGGAAGAACAUCCGUGGCGAAAGCGCUCUGCUGGACUGCAACUGACAUUGAGGGACGAAAGCUAGGGGAGCGAAUGGG